rnacentral:misc_RNA from 1 species
AGCAGCCGCGGUAAUUCCAGCUCCAAUAGCGUAUAUUAAAGUUGUUGCAGUUAAAAAGCUCGUAGUUGAAUUUCGGGAUCAAUAUAUCGGUCGUGCCUUGGUACGUACUGGUAUCAUUGGUUUCUCCUUUCUGACGAACCAUGAUGUCAUUAAUUUGGUGUUAUGGGAAGUUAGGACUGUUACUUUGAAAAAAUUGAGUGUUUAAAGCAGGCUUUGGCUUGAAUACAUUAGCAUGGAAUAAUGAAAUAGGACGUUCGAACCUAUUUUGUUGGUUUCUAGGAUCAACGUAAUGAUUAAUAGGGAUAGUUGGGGGCAUUAGUAUUCAAUUGUCAGAGGUGAAAUUCUUGGAUUUAUUGAAGACUAACUACUGCGAAAGCAUUUGCCAAGGAUGUUUUCAUUAAUCAAGAACGAAAGUUAGGGGAUCGAAGACGAUCAGAUACCGUCGUAGUCUUAACCAUAAACUAUGCCGACUAGGGAUCGGAUGAUGUUAAUUUUUUAAUGUACUCAUUCGGCGCCUUAA